rnacentral:rRNA from 1 species
UACGGGGGGGGCAAGCGUUGUUCGGAAUUACUGGGCGUAAAGGGUUUGUAGGUGGCUUGUUAAGUCUGUCGUGAAAGCCCCGGGCUCAACCUGGGAAUGGCGAUGGAUACUGGCUCGCUAGAGUGCGGUAGAGGAGAGUGGAAUUCCCGGUGUAGCAGUGAAAUGCGUAGAGAUCGGGAGGAACAUCAGUUGCGAAGGCGGGUCUCUGGGCCGAUACUGACGCUGAGGAGCGAAAGCGUGGGGAGCGAACAGG